rnacentral:rRNA from 1 species
CCUUGAAGAGGGAAGUGCCUCGCAAGAGGAGCCUGGAGACAGGUGCUGCAUGGCUGUCGUCAGCUCGUGUCGUGAGAUGUUGGGUUAAGUCCCGCAACGAGCGCAACCCUUGUCUUUAGUUGCCAUCAUUCAGUUGGGCACUCUAAAGAGACUGCCGGUGUCAAACCGGAGGAAGGGUGGGGGAUGACGUCAAGUCCUCAUGGCCUUUAUGACCAGGGCUACACACGUACUACAAUGGCCGGUACAAAGGGCAGCCACUUAGCGAUAAGGAGCCAAUCCCGUAAAGCCGGUCUCAGUCCGGAUUGGAGUCUGCAACUCGACUCCAUGAAGUUGGAAUCGCUAGUAAUCGCAGAUCAGCACGCUGCGGUGAAUACGUUCCCGGGCCUU